UUGUGGAGGAGGACGCCGAAGGUGGGGCUAAUGACUGGGGUGAAGUCGUAACAAGGUAGCCGUACCGGAAGGUGCGGCUGGAUCACCUCCUAACAGGGAGACAACAAAAUGUUUAAUAUUAUUAUUUUGUCACCUUAGGUCGAUCGGUAUCUCACGUUCUUAAUUUAUUAAGAAUUUCAUUUCCUAAGUUUUUCUAGGUCACACCCAUUAUUUUCCUGGGCCAUUAGCUCAGGUGGUUAGAGCGUACCCCUGAUAAGGGUGAGGUCCCUGGUUCAAGUCCAGGAUGGCCCAUAUCUCUAUGUUGGGGGUAUAGCUCAGUUGGUAGAGCGCCUGCUUUGCAAGCAGGAUGUCAGCGGUUCGAGUCCGCUUACCUCCACUGAUUACCACCUCUACCAUAAUUUGUAGAAGGGAAUGUUUUGAGUUGUGAUCAAAUUCUGAACGAAUCUAGCUUCCUAAUGAAAUCAUUAAGAUGCUGGACUCAUUGAAUUAAUUUCAUUGUUUUCAGAGAACCUUGACAACUGCAUAGAUUAUUUUUAAAGACAAUAAGCAUCUUUAUGAUGCAGAUUUAUUAUUUGUGCGAAUGCAUUAAUAACAAUUCUAUUAAGCUGAUGCUUCAAUUUUGAAGUUAUUGGUCAAGCUACAA
rnacentral:misc_RNA from 1 species